AAAGAAACAAAGUGAUUUCACAUUAUUCAGUAGUGUUCUUAGAAAUAAUGUACCAUUUCUAGCCUCUUUCACUUGGAAGUACAGAUACACAAUCCUCAUGCCUCUAAUAGGAUCACAGCCUUAUGGGCAGGAGCUGGUUUCUUUAUGCCUUCACUUCCUCCUUCUAAUUCAGGACAGAAGUCUAACAUUUAUCACACACAAAGCUGCUCAGUAAACACUUAAGAUUUUGUGUACAUUCAUAGCAGAACAAGUCCUUUUUAUAUUUUUGAAACUUGAAAA